CCUCCCCGGCCCUUCAAGGCAUCGCCACUGCUAAGUGCGGCCAUCUCUCUCUUCUGCGUGCCACCAUCUCUGUUCUCGUCGAGUUCUGUCCAUAUGCCGGCCUCCUUGAUGCCUCACAAAAGCCGAGGAAUUGUGCCACAAUCUUCCCCAACCUCGCUCUUCAUCGAGCCACCAUCAUUGACCCGAAAUCCUCCUGGAAAUCACCGGAUUCCAGGCUAAACCCACCUCCCCUCUUUGCUGCCGUGUUUUUUGAUCCCUGUUAUUAGUUGUUUUCUAUUUUCUAGUUACUAUUAGAGACUUUGUAUUGUUGAUCUAUGGUGGAACCCCGAAGCUCAACCACCGGCGAGUGUGCGAACGCUCGAAUCAACCGAGAGCUUUGAUUCCUUAUUUCUACUUUUAGCACAACAACGGUUGUCUUCAUUUUUAUCUUUCUUCCCAUCUUCCAGUUACCGGCCAUCCAGUACUAUUGGGCUCUCGAUGUCGUCAUCAUCUCAGUCCACCGCCACCUCCAGCAACCCACUCCUCG
rnacentral:lncRNA from 1 species